ACUGAUGCAAUGUCACCAAUUUCAUACAUGUAUGAGUGAUAAAGUAUUGAAGGUGGACUCUUUCUGUCAUAAUCACCUGUUUUUGGAAAAAUAUCGAAAAAUGUUAUAUUAUUUUAAGUAUAUGUACAUAGUUCAUGUUUUUAAAAUAAAAUUACAACUUUUUGUUU
rnacentral:sRNA from 1 species